UGCACAGAACCCCUCGUGAGUUUUAUCUAG
rnacentral:piRNA from 1 species